UUGACCUCGGAUCAGGUAGGGAUACCCGCUGAACUUAAGCAUAUCAAUAAGCGGAGGAAAAGAAACCAACAGGGAUUGCCCUAGUAACGGCGAGUGAAGCGGCAACAGCUCAAAUUUGAAAUCUGGCUCUUUUAGAGUCCGAGUUGUAAUUUGCAGAGGGCGCUUUGGCUUUGGCAGCGGUCCAAGUUCCUUGGAACAGGACGUCACAGAGGGUGAGAAUCCCGUACGUGGUCGCUGGCUAUUGCCGUGUAAAGCCCCUUCGACGAGUCGAGUUGUUUGGGAAUGCAGCUCUAAAUGGGAGGUACAUUUCUUCUAAAGCUAAAUAUUGGCCAGAGACCGAUAGCGCACAAGUAGAGUGAUCGAAAGAUGAAAAGCACUUUGGAAAGAGAGUCAAACAGCACGUGAAAUUGUUGAAAGGGAAGCGCUUGCAGCCAGACUUGCUUACAGUUGCUCAUCCGGGUUUCUACCCGGUGCACUCUUCUGUAGGCAGGCCAGCAUCAGUUUGGGCGGUAGGAUAAAGGUCUCUGUCACGUACCUCCUUU
rnacentral:rRNA from 1 species